AUACGGAGGGUGCGAGCGUUAAUCGGAAUUACUGGGCGUAAAGCGUGCGUAGGCGGUUUGGCAAGUCAGGUGUGAAAGCCCUCGGCUCAACCGAGGAACUGCACUUGAAACUGCCAGACUUGAGUUCGGGAGAGGGUAGCGGAAUUCCGGGUGUAGGGGUGAAAUCCGUCGAUAUCCGGAGGAACACCGGUGGCGAAGGCGGCUACCUGGACCGAUACUGACGCUGAGGUACGAAAGCGUGGGGAGCAAACAGGAUUAGAAACCCCAGUAGUCC
rnacentral:rRNA from 1 species